AGAGUGAACGCUGGCGGCAGGCCUAACACAUGCAAGUCGAACGGCAGCACAGGAGAGCUUGCUCUCUGGGUGGCGAGUGGCGGACGGGUGAGGAAUACGUCGGAAUCUGCCUAUUUGUGGGGGAUAACCUCGGGAAACCGGGACUAAUACCGCAUACGACCUACGGGUGAAAGCGGAGGACCUUCGGGCUUCGCGCAGAUAGAUGAGCCGACGUCGGAUUAGCUAGUUGGCGGGUAAAGCCCACAAGGCGACGAUCCGUAGCUGGUCUGAGAGGAUGAUCAGCCACACUGGAACUGAGACACGGUCCAGACUCCGUACGGGAGCAGCAGGUGGGAAUAGUGGACAAGUGGGCACAAGCCUGAUCCAGCCAUGCCGCGUGUGUAGAAGAGGCCGUUCGGUU
rnacentral:rRNA from 1 species